UACGGAGGGUGCAAGCGUCAAUCGGAAUUACUGGGCGUAAAGCGCGCGUUGGCGGUUUUUUAAGUCGGAUGUGAAAGCCCCGGGCUCAACCUGGGAACUGCAUCCGAUACUGGAAGACUAGAAUGCGGGAGAGGGAGGUAGAAUUCCAUGUGUAGCAGUGAAAUGCGUAGAUAUAUGGAGGAAUACCAGUGGCGAAGGCGGCCUCCUGGCUCGACAUUGACGCUGAGGUGCGAAAGCGUGGGGAGCAAACGGG
rnacentral:rRNA from 1 species